AAUGUUGAAAAAUUAGCGGAUGACCUGUGGCUGGGGGUGAAAGGCCAAUCAAACCGGGAGAUAGCUGGUUCUCCCCGAAAGCUAUUUAGGUAGCGCCUCGUGAAUUCAUCUCCGGGGGUAGAGCACUGUUUCGGCCAGGGGGCCAUCCCGGCUUACCAAUCCGAUGCAAACUGCGAAUACCGGAGAAUGUUAUCACGGGAGACACACGGCGGGUGCUAACGUCCGUCGUGAAGAGGGAAACAACCCAGACCGCCAGCUAAGGUCCCAAAGUCAUGGUUAAGUGGGAAACGAUGUGGGAAGGCCCAGACAGCCAGGAUGUUGGCUUAGAAGCAGCCAUCAUUUAAAGAAAGCGUAAUAGCUCACUGGUCGAGUCGGCCUGCGCGGAAGAUGUAACGGGGCUAAACCAUGCACCGAAGCUGCGGCAGCGAACGUAUCACCCAAGACAACUUUACACAGUUGACGCCUGACGGAGCGAAGCGACGUCAAAGCGUUUUACAACGUCGAGUUGGCUUAGGGAUACGUUCGUUGGGUAGGGGAGCGUUCUGUAAGCCGUUGAAGGUGUGUCGUGAGGCAUGCUGGAGGUAUCAGAAGUGCGAAUGCUGACAUAAGUAACGAUAAAGCGGGUGAAAAGCCCGCUCGCCGGAAGACCAAGGGUUCCUGUCCAACGUUAAUCGGGGCAGGGUGAGUCGACCCCUAAGGCGAGGCCGAAAGGCGUAGUCGAUGGGAAACGGGUUAAUAUUCCCGUACUUGGUGUUACUGCGAAGGGGGGACGGAGAAGGCUAUGUUGGCCGGGCGACGGUUGUCCCGGUUUAAGCGUGUAGGUGUGUGUUCCAGGUAAAUCCGGUUCACUUUAACACUGAGGCGUGAUGACGAGGCACCACGGUGCUGAAGCAACAAAUGCCCUGCUUCCAGGAAAAGCCUCUAAGCCUCAGGUAACAUCAAAUCGUACCCCAAACCGACACAGGUGGUCAGGUAGAGAAUACCAAGGCGCUUGAGAGAACUCGGGUGAAGGAACUAGGCAAAAUGGUGCCGUAACUUCGGGAGAAGGCACGCUGACACGUAGGUGAAGUGGUUUACCCAUGGAGCUGAAGUCAGUCGAAGAUACCAGCUGGCUGCAACUGUUUAUUAAAAACACAGCACUGUGCAAACACGAAAGUGGACGUAUACGGUGUGACGCCUGCCCGGUGCCGGAAGGUUAAUUGAUGGGGUCAGCGCAAGCGAAGCUCCUGAUCGAAGCCCCGGUAAACGGCGGCCGUAACUAUAACGGUCCUAAGGUAGCGAAAUUCCUUGUCGGGUAAGUUCCGACCUGCACGAAUGGCGUAAUGAUGGCCAGGCUGUCUCCACCCGGGACUCAGUGAAAUUGAACUCGCUGUGAAGAUGCAGUGUACCCGCGGCAAGACGGAAAGACCCCGUGAACCUUUACUAUAGCUUGACACUGAACACUGGUCCUUGAUGUGCAGGAUAGGUGGGAGGCUUUGAAGUGUGGACGCCAGUCUGCAUGGAGCCAUCCUUGAAAUACCACCCUUUAAUGGCUGGUGUUCUAACGUGGGCCCGUGAACCGGGUUGCGGACAGUGUCUGGUGGGUAGUUUGACUGGGGCGGUCUCCUCCUAAAGAGUAACGGAGGAGCACGAAGGUUGGCUAAUCCUGGUCGGACAUCAGGAGGUUAGUGCAAUGGCAUAAGCCAGCUUGACUGCGAGCGUGACGGCGCGAGCAGGUGCGAAAGCAGGUCAUAGUGAUCCGGUGGUUCUGAAUGGAAGGGCCAUCGCUCAACGGAUAAAAGGUACUCCGGGGAUAACAGGCUGAUACCGCCCAAGAGUUCAUAUCGACGGCGGUGUUUGGCACCUCGAUGUCGGCUCAUCACAUCCUGGGGCUGAAGUAGGUCCCAAGGGUAUGGCUGUUCGCCAUUUAAAGUGGUACGCGAGCUGGGUUUAGAACGUCGUGAGACAGUUCGGUCCCUAUCUGCCGUGGGCGCUGGAAGAUUGAGGGGGGCUGCUCCUAGUACGAGAGGACCGGAGUGGACGCAUCACUGGUGUUCGGGUUGUCAUGCCAAUGGCACUGCCCGGUAGCUACAUGCGGAAGAGAUAAGUGCUGAAAGCAUCUAAGCACGAAACUUGCCCCGAGAUGAAUCUUCCCUGAGCCUUUAAGGCUCCUGAAGGAACGUUGAAGACGACGACGUUGAUAGGCCGGGUGUGUAAGCGCAGCGAUGCGUUGAGCUAACCGGUACUAAUGAACCGUGAGGCUUAACCUU
rnacentral:rRNA from 1 species